UUCGGUCUUUGCAGAAUGGCGGUAAUCUCGGUGGAAGAAGUUCAGAGAAAUUCGAUGGUUAUGAGAUCACAACAAGCUAAAAGUCUAUAUUCAAAUAUUAUACUGUCUAUUUUCAAGUCACCAGUCCCAUAAACCAUCGCGGAGCAUCUAAGCUAUUUUUACCCAAAAUGGUAGUUGGACUCUUCAAUUUCAAAAGUUCUCGGUGCCUGAAGUUCACGUGGACGGUGAACAACAGUAAAAAUGGAGAGCCCAAAGAUCACGAAGGGGAAAACAAAU